rnacentral:rRNA from 1 species
GACGAACGCUGGCGGCGUGCUUAACACAUGCAAGUCGAACGGAAAGGCCCUGCUUUUGUGGGGUGCUCGAGUGGCGAACGGGUGAGUAACACGUGAGUAACCUGCCCUUGACUUUGGGAUAACUUCAGGAAACUGGGGCUAAUACCGGAUAGGAGCUCCUGCUGCAUGGUGGGGGUUGGAAAGUUUCGGCGGUUGGGGAUGGACUCGCGGCUUAUCAGCUUGUUGGUGGGGUAGUGGCUUACCAAGGCUUUGACGGGUAUCCGGCCUGAGAGGGUGACCGGCCACAUUGGGACUGAGAUACGGCCCAGACUCCUACGGGAGGCAGCAGUGGGGAAUAUUGCACAAUGGGCGGAAGCCUGAUGCAGCAACGCCGCGUGCAGGAUGACGGCCUUCGGGUUGUAAACCGCUUUCGCCUGUGACGAAGCGUGAGUGACGGUAAUGGGUAAAGAAGCACCGGCUAACUACGUG